UGAGUAAUGUAUCGGAACGUGCCUAGUAGCGGGGGAUAACUACGCGAAAGCUUAGCUAAUACCGCAUACGCCCUACGGGGGAAAGCAGGGGAUCGCAAGACCUUGCACUAUUGGAGCGGCCGAUGUCAGAUUAGGUAGUUGGUGGGGUAACGGCUCACCAAGGCGACGAUCCGUAGCUGGUUUGAGAGGACGACCAGCCACACUGGGACUGAGACACGGCCCAGACUCCUACGGGAGGCAGCAGUGGGGAAUUUUGGACAAUGGGGGAAACCCUGAUCCAGCCAUCCCGCGUGUGCGAUGAAGGCCUUCGGGUUGUAAACUGCUUUUGGCAGGAAAGAAACGUCCUGUUCUAAUACCCCGUGAAACUGACGGUACCUGCAGAAUAAGCACCGGCUAACUACGUGCCAGCAGCCGC
rnacentral:rRNA from 1 species